rnacentral:rRNA from 1 species
GACGAACGCUGGCGGCGUGCUUAACACAUGCAAGUCGAACGGAAAGGCCCUGCUUUUGUGGGGUGCUCGAGUGGCGAACGGGUGAGUAACACGUGAGUAACCUGCCCUUGACUUUGGGAUAACUUCAGGAAACUGGGGCUAAUACCGGAUAGGAGCUCCUGCUGCAUGGUGGGGGUUGGAAAGUUUCGGCGGUUGGGGAUGGACUCGCGGCUUAUCAGCUUGUUGGUGGGGUAGUGGCUUACCAAGGCUUUGACGGGUAGCCGGCCUGAGAGGGUGACCGGCCACAUUGGGACUGAGAUACGGCCCAGACUCCUACGGGAGGCAGCAGUGGGGAAUAUUGCACAAUGGGCGGAAGCCUGGUGCAGCAACGCCGCGUGCGGGAUGACGGCCUUCGGGUUGUAAACCGCUUUCGCCUGUGACGAAGCGUGAGUGACGGUAAUGGGUAAAGAAGCACCGGCUAACUACGUGCCAGCAGCCGCGGUGAUACGUAGGGUGCGAGCGUUGUCCGGAUUUAUUGGGCGUAAAGGGCUCGUAGGUGGUUGAUCGCGUCGGAAGUGUAAUCUUGGGGCUUAACCCUGAGCGUGCUUUCGAUACGGGUUGACUUGAGGAAGGUAGGGGAGAAUGGAAUUCCUGGUGGAGCGGUGGAAUGCGCAGAUAUCAGGAGGAACACCAGUGGCGAAGGCGGUUCUCUGGGCCUUUCCUGACGCUGAGGAGCGAAAGCGUGGGGAGCGAACAGGCUUAGAUACCCUGGUAGUCCACGCUGUAAACGGUGGGUACUAGGUGUGGGGUCCAUUCCACGGGUUCCGUGCCGUAGCUAACGCUUUAAGUACCCCGCCUGGGGAGUACGGCCGCAAGGCUAAAACUCAAAGGAAUUGACGGGGCCCCGCACAAGCGGCGGAGCAUGCGGAUUAAUUCGAUGCAACGCGUAGAACCUUACCUGGGUUUGACAUGGAUCGGGAGCGCUCAGAGAUGGGUGUGCCUCUUUUGGGGUCGGUUCACAGGUGGUGCUUGGCUGUCGUCAGCUCGUGUCGUGAGAUGUUGGGUUAAGUCCCGCAACGAGCGCAACCCUUGUUCACUGUUGCCAGCACGUUAUGGUGGGGACUCAGUGGAGACCGCCGGGGUCAACUCGGAGGAAGGUGGGGAUGACGUCAAGUCAUCAUGCCCCUUAUGUCCAGGGCUUCACGCAUGCUACAAUGGCUGGUACAGAGAGUGGCGAGCCUGUGAGGGUGAGCGAAUCUCGGAAAGCCGGUCUCAGUUCGGAUUGGGGUCUGCAACUCGACCUCAUGAAGUCGGAGUCGCUAGUAAUCGCAGAUCAGCAACGCUGCGGUGAAUACGUUCCCGGG